GCGCUGCCUUUGAUUCCUCGCCGCACCUUCGCGUGGCGUCGGGGGUCGGGCUGUAGCGCCAGAGCAUGUGCUCGGGCAUAACUGGGGCCGCCUAAACCCCUAAGGGCGGCCCUUUUAACCACGAGCAACAUGA
ensembl:snoRNA